rnacentral:lncRNA from 1 species
UGUAAAUGUACUUAAAGCCAUUAAAUUAUACACUUAGAGCAGUAAAUUUUAUGUUGUGUACAUUUUACCACAGUUUUUGUUUUAAAGAUCUGUCUUCAUGGAGGGAAAGGAAGUAGGGAGAAGACAAGGACUGCCUUCUUCAAUUAUGGAUUAAAAAGUUCACAGGUGCAGAAAUUGAAGAGGAUCUGGAAAAGGUAGUUAAAAUCGCCAUGCUGUGCAACAAACAAAACAGAUGUGAGGUGACAUUUGUCUGAGGAACUUUGUGCCCUACUUCCUCCAGCAAAUAUGCCACACAUCAUUUAAAUAAACUUUUUUAAUGUUUAAAAUUCUUUAAGUUUUAGAUAGCGUGUCUAUGACAUGGUGAUGUGCACUUAUCUGUGUUUGGCAAAGUAUGUUAGUCAUUUAUUCAACAAACAUUUCCUAAGCAUCUACUUUGUAUAACUGCCUUUAUAUGUGUGUAAGUUUCAUGUAUAAAUAUGGUAUUAUAAAUAUUUAAAAACCAUCUGAAUCAAGAACAUGUUUUUUCCACCUACACAUACCCUUUAAAGUAUGUUCACACCAAUGCAUUGUGAUUAGUUUUACCUGCUUGUUUCUUGAAUUGUUCACCGAAAAAUGGGACAUCAAAUUGUUUCUAAAUUAAUUUCAAGGUUUGCAGCAAAAUUAUAGCUUUUACAGACAUCAAAGCAAUAGCUCAGAGCAAUUGUAAAAUAAUAAGCAAAUAAACUAAACUAGGAAAUUAAUAUGGCUAUUUUAAUUGAGUGUUCUUGUUCAUUAUUAAAGAGGAUAAAUAACAUAAAUUCUCAUGUCAGUCAUUUUAACUUAUAAAAAAGACUGUGAUAAUCUUUAGUUUUAUUGAUCACUUUGAUAAACCGGUGUUUCAUUAUAUUACUUGUAUUAAAAUUUUCUCUACAAAAAUUGUAAACCUAUUUCCAUGUGCUAUCUGAUCUGUA